rnacentral:rRNA from 1 species
AGCUCCAAUAGCGUAUAUUAAAGUUGCUGCAGUUAAAAAGCUCGUAGUUGGAUUUGUGGCGCGGCCGUCCGGCGGGGCUCCUUCAUUGGGGCCGUUUGUCUGGUUCUUCGGCCGCCCCAUUCUCGGGUAGUGUGUCGCUGGCAUUAGGUUGUUGGCUUCUUCACGCCCGUCGUUUACUGUGAAAAAAUUAGAGUGUUCAAAGCAGGCUUAGGCCGUUGGAUACAUUAGCAUGGAAUAAUGAGAUAGGGCCACGGCGGUCUAUUUUGUUGGUUUGCACGUUGUGGUAAUGAUUAACAGGAACGGUUGGGGGUAUUCGUAUUCAAUUGUCAGAGGUGAAAUUCUUGGAUUUAUGGAAGACGAACUACUGCGAAAGCAUUUACCAAGGAUGUUUUCAUUAAUC